rnacentral:rRNA from 1 species
GACGAACGCUGGCGGCGUGCUUAACACAUGCAAGUCGAACGGAAAGGCCCUGCCUUUGUGGGGUGCUCGAGUGGCGAACGGGUGAGUAACACGUGAGUAACCUGCCCUUGACUUUGGGAUAACUUCAGGAAACUGGGGCUAAUACCGGAUAGGAGCUCCUGCUGCAUGGUGGGGGUUGGAAAGUUUCGGCGGUUGGGGAUGGACUCGCGGCUUAUCAGCUUGUUGGUGGGGUAGUGGCUUACCAAGGCUUUGACGGGUAGCCGGCCUGAGAGGGUGACCGGCCACAUUGGGACUGAGAUACGGCACAGACUCCUACGGGAGGCAGCAGUGGGGAAUAUUGCACAAUGGGCGGAAGCCUGAUGCAGCAACGCCGCGUGCGGGAUGACGGCCUUCGGGUUGUAAACCGCUUUCGCCUGUGACGAAGCGUGAGUGACGGUAAUGGGUAAAGAAGCACCGGCUAACUACGUG